rnacentral:rRNA from 1 species
UACGUAGGGUGCAAGCGUUGUCCGGAAUUAUUGGGCGUAAAGAGCUCGUAGGCGGUUUGUCGCGUCUGCUGUGAAAACGCGAGGCUCAACCUCGCGCCUGCAGUGGGUACGGGCAGACUAGAGUGUGGUAGGGGAGAUUGGAAUUCCUGGUGUAGCGGUGGAAUGCGCAGAUAUCAGGAGGAACACCGGUGGCGAAGGCGGGUCUCUGGGCAGUAACUGACGCUGAGGAGCGAAAGCGUGGGGAGCGAACAGG